GAUGAACGCUGGCGGCGUGCCUAAUACAUACAAGUCGAGCGAACAGAUGAGGAGCUUGCUCCUCUGACGUUAGCGGCGGACGGGUGAGUAACACGUGGAUAACCUACCUAUAAGACUGGGAUAACUUCGGGAAACCGGAGCUAAUACCGGAUAAUAUAUUGAACCGCAUGGUUCAAUAGUGAAAGACGGUUUUGCUGUCACUUAUAGAUGGAUCCGCGCCGCAUUAGCUAGUUGGUAAGGUAACGGCUUACCAAGGCAACGAUGCGUAGCCGACCUGAGAGGGUGAUCGGCCACACUGGAACUGAGACACGGUCCAGACUCCUACGGGAGGCAGCAGUAGGGAAUCUUCCGCAAUGGGCGAAAGCGUGACGGAGCAACGCCGCGUGAGUGAUGAAGGUCUUCGGAUCGUAAAACUCUGUUAUUAGGGAAGAACAAAUGUGUAAGUAACUAUGCACGUCUUGACGGUACCUAAUCAGAAAGCCACGGCUAACUACGUG
rnacentral:rRNA from 1 species